GAUCGUAUGGCCUAGUGGUAAGGGUGUCCCUCUGUGGAGCGGGAGGACGUGGGUUCGAGCCCAUCUGAGAACA
rnacentral:tRNA from 1 species